rnacentral:rRNA from 1 species
UACAGAGGUCCCGAGCGUUGUUCGGAUUCACUGGGCGUAAAGCGUGCGUAGGCGGUUUGUUAAGUGAGAUGUGAAAUCGUGUGGCUCAACCAUAUCGUUGUGUCUCAUACUGGCAAACUAGAGGAUAGCAGAGGCAAGUGGAAUUACGAGUGUAGCAGUGAAAUGCGUAGAGAUUCGUAGGAACACCAAUGGCGAAGGCAGCUUGCUGGGCUAUUUCUGACGCUCAGGCACGAAAGCGUGGGGAGCGAACAGG